CCAUUAGAUGUUCUGGGCUGCACGCGCGCUACACUGACGCACGCAACAGGUGCCUGCUCCGAGAGGACUGGGUAAUCAUUUGAGUGUGCGUCGUGAUGGGGAUAGAAUAUUGUAAUUAUUACUCUUCAACGAGGAAUUCCUAGUAAGCGCCAGUCAGCAGCUUGCGCUGAUUACGUCCCUGCCCUUUGUACACACCGCCCGUCGCUCCUACCGAUGGGUGAUCCGGUGAAUGAUUCGGACUUCAGCGGCUCCCCUGGGGUGCGCCGGAGAAAGUUUUGUGAACCUUAUCACUUGGAGGAAGGAGAAGUCGUAACA
rnacentral:rRNA from 1 species